AUGAACGUAUCUUAAGGGUCCAAGACUUAGACUCUCAUCAUAAGCCUAUAUAAAGGAGUCUAGAUUGUUUAUUAUUGGAGCAUCACAAAUUUAAGUGUUAAUUUGUUCUUAAUUAGAAUUUAAAAUCACACAAUGUCAACUAAUUUCUUAAGGUUUUUUCUGAUGGCUCUUCUCAUCUCUUCAAUACUACAAUUUUCCAUGCUACCAGCAGCUGAUGCAGCUAGAAAAAUUCAAUCUGCUCCUCCACCUAUAAGUAAAAACAUCCCAGGUUUCGACGGGUCAGAGCGCAUAUAUUGUCCAGCUUGUGUUUGUAAUGGUGAAGUUCCAGAACCGGGUAAAUGCUGCAAGUGCAAAUGAGAAGAUUAGUUUCGCUACACAUGCUUGGGAUCGGCCUAAUUAAUUAAACAAUUAGUUGAGUAAUUAAUAUUAAUAAAAAGUGUCUCUUGUUAGCCUAAUUAACGCCAAUAUUAAAAGAAAUUGUAGCAAGUAAAAUUAGUGUCCCAAGAUUCUAUAGAUAAUACAGUUUAAUAUGUAAUAAUUUAUCAUAGUCUUGUUUUUAAUCAAAUAAAAUAUGUUUCUUCAUUA